rnacentral:rRNA from 1 species
AUUGAACGCUGGCGGCAGGCCUAACACAUGCAAGUCGGGCGAACGAGGCUUCGGCCAAGUGAGCGGCGAACGGGUGAGUAACACGUAGGAAUCUGCCUGGUAGUGGGGGACAACGUCUCGAAAGGGACGCUAAUACCGCAUACGCCCUACGGGGGAAAGCAGGGGCUCUUCGGACCUUGCGCUAUCAGAUGAGCCUGCGUCGGAUUAGCUAGUUGGUGGGGUAAAGGCCUACCAAGGCGACGAUCCGUAACUGGUCUGAGAGGAUGAUCAGUCACACCGGAACUGGGACACGGUCCGGACUCCUACGGGAGGCAGCAGUGGGGAAUAUUGGACAAUGGGGGCAACCCUGAUCCAGCCAUGCCGCGUGUGUGAAGAAGGCCUUCGGGUUGUAAAGCACUUUAGGUCGGGAGGAAGGUUCGCUGGCUAAUAUCCAGCGGAAUUGACGUUACCGACAGAAUAAGCACCGACUAACUCCGUGCCAGCCGCCGCCGUAAUAC